rnacentral:rRNA from 1 species
CCUACGGGUGGCAGCAGUGGGGAAUAUUGGACAAUGGGCGAAAGCCUGAUCCAGCCAUGCCGCGUGUGUGAAGAAGGCCUUCGGGUUGUAAAGCACUUUCAGUGGGGAAGAAAGCCUUGGGGCUAAUACCCUCGAGGAAGGACAUCACCCACAGAAGAAGCACCGGCUAACUCCGUGCCAGCAGCCGCGGUAAUACGGAGGGUGCGAGCGUUAAUCGGAAUUACUGGGCGUAAAGCGCGCGUAGGCGGUCUGAUAAGCCGGUUGUGAAAGCCCCGGGCUCAACCUGGGAACGGCAUCCGGAACUGGCAGGCUAGAGUGCAGGAGAGGAAGGUAGAAUUCCCGGUGUAGCGGUGAAAUGCGUAGAGAUCGGGAGGAAUACCAGUGGCGAAGGCGGUCUUCUGGACUGACACUGACGCUGAGGUGCGAAAGCGUGGGUAGCAAACAGGAUUAGAUACCCGAGUAGUC